AUUAUGGAGAGUUUGAUCCUGGCUCAGGAUGAACGCUGGCGGCGUGCCUAAUACACGCAAGUCGAGCGAACAGA
rnacentral:rRNA from 1 species